rnacentral:rRNA from 1 species
UACGUAGGGGGCAAGCGUUGUCCGGAAUCAUUGGGCGUAAAGCGCGUGUAGGCGGCUUUGCAAGUCGGGUGUGAAAGCCCUCGGCUCAACCGAGGAAGUGCGCCCGAAACUGUAGAGCUUGAGUACCGGAGAGGGUGGCGGAAUUCCCCAAGUAGAGGUGAAAUUCGUAGAUAUGGGGAGGAACACCGGUGGCGAAGGCGGCCACCUGGACGGAUACUGACGCUGAGACGCGAAAGCGUGGGGAGCAAACAGG